UACGUAGGGUGCAAGCGUUAAUCGGAAUUACUGGGCGUAAAGCGUGCGCAGGCGGUUGUGCAAGACAGAUGUGAAAGCCCGAGGCUCAACCUCGGAACUGCCUUCGAUACUGCGGGUCUCGAGUCCGGGAGAGGUGAGUGGAAUUCCUAGUGUAGAGGUGAAAUUCGUAGAUAUUAGGAAGAACACCAGUGGCGAAGGCGACUAACUGGACAAGUAUUGACGCUGAGGUACGGAAAGCGUGGGGAGCAAACAGG
rnacentral:rRNA from 1 species